rnacentral:rRNA from 1 species
UCGCGAAAACUUCACAAUGGGGGAAACCCCGAUGAGGGAAUUCCAAGUGUCAGCACAUUGUGUUGACUGUUCCCCUGUCUAAAAAACAGGAGAAGUAAGGGCCGGGUAAGACGGGUGCCAGCCGCCGCGGUAAUACCCGCGGCCCGAGUGGUGGUCGAUAUUAUUGAGCCUAAAACGUUCGUAGCCGGUCUUGUAAAUCCUUGGGUAAAUCGGCCAGCUUAACUGUCCGAAGUCCGGGGAGACUGCAAGACUUGGGAUCGGGAGAGGUCAGAGGUACUUCUAGGGUAGGGGUAAAAUCCUGUAAUCCUAGAAGGACCACCGGUGGCGAAGGCGUCUGACUAGAACGAAUUCGACGGUGAGGAACGAAGCCCUGGGGCGCAAACGGGAUUAGAUACCCCGGUAGUCCAGGGUGUAAACGCUGCGGGCUUGGUGUUGGGGUCCUUUGUGGGCGCCCAGUGCCGGAGAGAAGUUGUUAAGCCUGCUGCUUGGGGAGUACGUCCGCAAGGAUGAAACUUAAAGGAAUUGGCGGGGGAGCACCGCAACGGGAGGAGCGUGCGGUUCAAUUGGAUUCGAACGCC